UCCACGCCGUAAACGAUGUCAACUAGGUGUAGGGGGUGUUGAUCCCCUCUGUGCCGCAGCUAACGCAUUAAGUUGACCGCCUGGGGAGUACGGUCGCAAGAUUAAAACUCAAAGGAAUUGACGGGGGCCCGCACAAGCGGUGGAGUAUGUGGUUUAAUUCGAUGCAACGCGAAGAACCUUACCUGGUCUUGACAUCCCGAGGAUCUCCUGGAAACAGGAGAGUGCUUUCAUA
rnacentral:rRNA from 1 species